UCUCCGUUGGUGAACCAGCGGAGGGAUCAUUACAGGAUUCGCAAGAACUCCCGUAACCACUGUGAACCUUACCUUCUGUUGCCUCGGCGGGCGCUGGUCUCGACCAGCGCUCACGCCCGCCGACGGCCCACAACUCUUGUCUCUUGCGUUGGCAUCUCCGAGCAAACAAAAACGAGUCAAAACUUUUAACAACGGAUCUCUUGGUUCUGGCAUCGAUGAAGAACGCAGC
rnacentral:misc_RNA from 1 species